rnacentral:rRNA from 1 species
UACAUAGGGGGCAAGCGUUGUCCGGAUUUAUUGGGCGUAAAGAGCGUGUAGGCGGCUAUACAGGUCCGCUGUGAAAACUCGAGGCUCAACCUCGAGACGUCGGUGGAAACCGUAUGGCUAGAGUCCGGAAGAGGAGAGUGGAAUUCCUGGUGUAGCGGUGAAAUGCGCAGAUAUCAGGAAGAACACCCGUGGCGAAGGCGGCUCUCUGGGACGGUACUGACGCUGAGACGCGAAAGCGUGGGGAGCGAACAGG